GCAGAGUAGAUUCAUGCGCGUCAAGUGCCUGCCGGACAGGGAGUUGCCGACAGGACGAAGGGGAAUUUCUCCGCGGUGCAUGGGUCGCAUCCCGCUGC
rnacentral:ncRNA from 1 species